rnacentral:rRNA from 1 species
CUUUCCCUCUGGCGGCAGGCCUAACACAUGCAAGUCGAGCGGAUGAAGGGAGCUUGCUCCUGGAUUCAGCGGCGGACGGGUGAGUAAUGCCUAGGAAUCUGCCUGGUAGUGGGGGAUAACGUCCGGAAACGGGCGCUAAUACCGCAUACGUCCUGAGGGAGAAAGUGGGGGAUCUUCGGACCUCACGCUAUCAGAUGAGCCUAGGUCGGAUUAGCCAGUUGGUGGGGUAAAGGCCUACCAAGGCGACGAUCCGUAACUGGUCUGAGAGGAUGAUCAGUCACACUGGAACUGAGACACGGUCCAGACUCCUACGGGAGGCAGCAGUGGGGAAUAUUGGACAAUGGGCGAAAGCCUGAUCCAGCCAUGCCGCGUGUGUGAAGAAGGUCUUCGGAUUGUAAAGCACUUUAAGUUGGGAGGAAGGGCAGUAAGUUAAUACCUUGCUGUUUUGACGUUACCAACAGAAUAAGCACCGGCUAACUUCGUG